CAAUUUAGUGCCCUGCAUCUGGAAUAACUCUGUCCAAAAUCUGCUCGUGAAGAUGCAAGUAGAAUUUGGCACAAGCACAAUGCAUCUCUUAUAGCGUAAUUCUUUUGAGUCCCAACUGUAAUGAGUCUCUGGAUCUUCUUGCCAUUCCCUCUUAAUAUCCUCAGGGAUGUUGCUAGUCGAAAGUGAAAUGACUGAAAAUUCAGCUUGCUUGGGUAGCCGUGAAAGCGCAUCUGCAACAAUAUUCUCUUUCCCCUUUUUGUAAGUUAU
rnacentral:lncRNA from 1 species